rnacentral:rRNA from 1 species
AGUAGUAAUAUGCUUGUCUCAAAGAUUAAGCCAUGUAUGUGUAAGUAUGAACUAAUUUAGACUGUGAAAUUGUGAAUGGCUCAUUAAAUUAGUUAUAGUUUGUUUGAUGGUAUCUACUACUCAGAUAAUCAUAGUAAUUCUAUAGCUAAAGUAUACAACAACCCCUGCUUUUGGAAGGGAUGCAUUUAUUAGAUAAAAGGUCGAUGUGGGUUUUGCCCUUUGCUCUAAUGAUUCAUUAUAGCUCGACAGAUAGCACGACCUUUAUGCUAGCAACGCAUCAUUCAAAUUUCUACCCUAUCAACUUUUGAUGAUAAGAUAGUGGCCUAUUAUAGUGGUGAUCGGUGACAGAGAAUUAGGGUUCAAUUUUGAAGAAGGAACCUGAGAAACGGCUAAUACAUCCAAGGAAGGCUGCAGGUGAAACAUUACCCAAUCUUGACAUGAAGAGGUUGUGAUAAUAAAUAACAAUACCAGGCUCUAUAAGUCUAGUAAUUGAAAUGAAUAUAAUCUAAAUCCCUUAAGGAGGAUAUAUUGAAGGGCCAUCCAUUGAAGGGUAAGUCUGGUGCUAGUAACCAUGGUAAUUCUAGCUCCAAUAGCAUAUAUUUAAAUUGUUGUAGUUAAAAAACUCAUAGUUGGAACUAGGGUUGGGUCAUUUGGUCCACCUUACGAUGAGCACCAGUCUACUUGUCCUUAUAACCAAUGAUGCACUCCUAACUUUAACUAGCCAGGUCAUUCCUCCUGCAAUAUUACUUUGAAAAAAUUAGAAUGCUCAAAGUAGGCCUAUAUUUGUAACAUUAGCAUAGGAUAACAUCAUAGGAUUUUGGUGCUAUUGUAUUGGCCUUUAGGAUCAAAGUAAUGAUUAAUAGGGACAGUUAGGGGCAUUCGUAUUUUAUAGUCAGAGGUGAAAUUUUUGGAUUUAUGAAAGAUGAACAAUUGCAAAAGCAUUUACCAAAGAUGUUUUCAUUAAUCAAGAAUGAAAGUUAGGGGCUCGAAGUUGAUCAAAUACCAUCCUAGUCUCAAUUAUAAAUGAUGCCAACCAAGGAUCAAUGAAUGUUACUUUUAGGAACCCCAUCAGCACCUUAUGAAAAAUCAAAGUCUUUGGAUUCUAGGGGGAGUAUGGUUGCUAGGCUAAAACUUAAAGGAAUUGAUGGAAGAGCACUACCAGGAGUGGAGGUUGUAGUUUAAUUUGACUCAACACGAAAACUUAUCAAGUCUAGACAUAGAAAGAUUAACAUACUGAAAGCUCUUUCUUAAUUCUAUCGGUGGUGGUGCAUGGCUGUUCUUAGUUGGUAUAGCGAUUUAUCUGUUAAUUCUAUUAAUGAACGAGACCUUAACCUAUUAACUAACUACAAGGAGAUGAUUUUUCAUGGCUAGCUUCUUAAAGAGACUGUGGCUACUUAAACCAAGAAAGUUUGAGGUAAUAACAGGUCUAUGAUGCCUUUAGAUGUUUUAAGCUACAUCUGUGUUACACUGAUGUAUUCAAUGAGUCUAUAGCCUUGGUUGACAGGUCCAGGUAAUCUUUGAAAUUUCAUCGUAAUAGGCAUAGAUCGUUGCAAUUAUUGGUCUUCAAUGAGGAAUUCCUAGUAAAUGCGAGUCAUCAGCUCACGUUGCCUACAUCGCUGUCUUUUGUACACACCGCCUGUCACUCCUACCAAUUGAAUAGUCCAGUAAAGUGUUCAUAUUAUAGUGACAUGGACUGUUCACUACUUGUGAUGUUACAAAAAGUCCACUAAACCUUAUCAUUUAGAGGAAAGAAAAGUCGUAACAAGGUUUCCAUAGGUAAACUUAUGAAAG